GUCCCUGUAGCGUAAUUGAUAGUGCGUUGGACUUCAAAUCCAAAGGUCGUGGGUUCGAAUCCCACCUGGUAUG
rnacentral:tRNA from 1 species